rnacentral:misc_RNA from 1 species
GGGUAUUGCUGUAUUGGCCAGAAAGAAUUAAAAAUUAGGAAAGCUAUGUGUGAAGUAGGCAUUGCUUUUUCACUAGUAUUGAUGAAAUUCAAGAGUACAAGAAGGCCAUUGCAGUGAAGAAAGGAAACAGAACCAAUUAAACGAAAUUAUUUUAAUUAUUCAACACAAGAUGAGGCUCUUAAGAAAUUGAGAUGACAGUACCCG